AGUAAAUGAACUCAGCCUCAACUGUUUAUUCCUUCAUGUACCCUUUUCUGCCUUCAAGAGAACAUAAUCUCUCGAAGUUUGAGAAUAAGUGGGCAUGUCAGUGCUUAGCAAGAGUCAGGAAUCCCCAAAAAACAUGGGAGUGGAAGAAUUUCUUGAUACUAUGACAACCCAGCAGCAAAACUACUGCUGUGAGGGAUUCUAAGCCUCAUGAUCACACAACAGUGACAGUCCAAGUGGGAGAGUGAGAGGUCGUUUCCUUCUAGAACCUUCCAAGGGACUCUAGAGCAACACCUGCCAGGUUGAGCAGUGAAGGACAGACUCUCGAGUGACGAUAGAGACUUGGGCAUGUGUACAUCUACAGACAUGGGAAGGAAGGGGGAGGUUCUGUUGUCUGUUUCUACAAACUGGUCAUCUGUGACACUGUCCUAUCUAUGAAUCACCAACUAAUUAAACGACUUCACUUAGUCUAGUCAGGAAAAAUGAGAAAGAAGGUGCUCAUGAUUCUCUCUGUGGUUUUAAUUGCACCGUGUAUAAAUCACUGACUUUGUGAAAUUACUCUGUCAGUCUUUCAUUUUUCUGUGCAGGAUCUCCAAAGAAUGUUUCCAUUGUUUAUUCUUAAAUUUGCCUUCUUAAGUCUGAAACCCCAUUAAGGCAAGUGACUUUUUUUUGUAACGCUACCAGGUAGUCCAGUUCUGAGUAUUUUGUUUCAUGGAACAAUCAGGAACUACUCAGGCAGCUGGAGCCACAAAGAGAAAUCAACCGGACAAGAGCAGCCCUGCACAGCACCAUGAUGGAGUGGGGAAGAUGAACAGUAUUUGGAGACCAUGGUUCCAACAAGCCAACUCAGUGCGGCCAGCCCUAAGGAAUCCAGGUCAAAGCAGUGCUCCCCAGUGCAGAGAGUCCAGAUGUUCUGAUAUAGCCCAAGAUCAUCUGAGAUCCAGAACUAUGGGUGGCAACAUCACUGAUGGAUCAGCAGAUCUGUUUAGGGGGUUAAUAAACAAGAUUUUGUUGGAAUCGAAUGCAAUAAUAUAGAAUGGAAUGAACAUGAACAGAACACAUCUCCCACGGUAAGAGAAAGCACUGUUUUGUGAAAUUCUUUCUUUCCCUGUGUACAAUGGGCUAGGUUAUGUGAUAACAUAUAUUUCUUCCUUUGAUUCAAAACAAGUUUGAAAACCACUAUAGUAGGUUGAAUAGAGGCUCCCACAAUGAUAUGUCCAUAUUCUAAUCCCCGGAACCUAUCAAUGGGACCUCAUGUGGAAAAAGGUUCUCUGUGGAUGUAAUUAAGAUAAGGGUCUCAAGAUGACUAGAUCAUCCUUGAUUAUAUGGGUGAGCCCUAAAUCCAAUGACACAUGUUCUUAUAAGAGAAAGACAGAGGGACACAUGAGAAAGACUGAAGAGAAGGAAACAAUGUGAUCACAGACGCAGAGACUGGUGUGGUGUACACACAAGUCAAGGAUACCUGGAGCCACCAGAUGCUGGAAGAAUCAAGGAAGGAUCCUCCCCUAGAGCCUGUGGAGGGAACACGGGCAUGCAGACUUCUUGAUUCAGACUUCUAGCCUCUAGACCUGUGAUAGAAUAAAUUUCUGCUGUGUUAAGCUACCCAGUUGCUGGUAAUUUGCUGCAGCAGCAACAAGAAACAAGAAGUAUAGUCACUGAUCUUAAAAAAGAAAAAAAAAAAAAUUCUAGGUGUUUACAACUCCAGAAUCAGUCUUAUCCCAAACCAGUCUCCACCAAAAUCCCAGAGUUACCCAAAACAUGAAAUUCAUUCUAGUCCAAAGUUCACCAAUACUUUUUUAAAGUCUUGCCUUUUAUGAGAAGCCUAAAUAUCUGAGGACCCACAAUCUGAUACAGCCCCAGGGAAGGAAAAAGAACC
rnacentral:lncRNA from 1 species